AUGGAGGGUGAUUUGUCCUUGAGUUAGGAGUAAAGUGCUCUUGAAAAAAAUGAAUCUAGAUAGUUUUCUGUCAAGGCAAGCAUUAUGC
rnacentral:pre_miRNA from 1 species